rnacentral:rRNA from 1 species
AACGGCGAGUGAAGCGGCAAGAGCUCAAAUUUGAAAUCUGGCCUCCCCCGGGGGCCCGAGUUGUAAUUUGCAGAGGAUGCUUCGGGUGCGGCCGCCGUCUAAGUUCCUUGGAACAGGACGUCAGAGAGGGUGAGAAUCCCGUCUUGGGCGGGCGGUCCGCGCCCGUGUGAAGCUCCUUCGACGAGUCGAGUUGUUUGGGAAUGCAGCUCUAAGCGGGUGGUAAAUUUCAUCUAAAGCUAAAUAUUGGCCGGAGACCGAUAGCGCACAAGUAGAGUGAUCGAAAGGUUAAAAGCACCUUGAAAAGGGAGUUAAACAGCACGUGAAAUUGUUGAAAGGGAAGCGCUUGCGGCCAGACUCGGGGGCGGGGUUCAGCGGGUGCUCGUCGCCCGUGUAUUCCUCGUUUCCCGGGCCAGCAUCAGUUUCGACGGCCGGUCAAAGGCCCCCGGAAUGUGUCGUCUCUCGGGACGUCUUAUAGCCGGGGGUGCAAUGCGGCCCGUCGGGACUGAGGAACGCGCUUCGGCUCGGAUGCUGGCGUAAUGGCCGUAAGCGGCCCGUCUUGAAACACGGACCAAGGAGUCUAACAUCCACGCGAGUGUUCGGGUGUCAAACCCGUGCGCGCAGUGAAAGCGAACGGAGGUGGGAGCCUUAGGGCGCACCAUCGACCGAUCCUGAAGUCUUCGGAUGGAUUUGAGUAGGAGCGUGGCCGUUGGGACCCGAAAGAUGGUGAACUAUGCCUGAAUAGGGUGAAGCCAGAGGAAACUCUGGUGGAGGCUCGCAGCGGUUCUGACGUGCAAAUCGAUCGUCAAAUUU